UUCGUCAUUCGUGAAGUCGUUCUGUGGAUUCUCGUUGUGAAGCGCGGACAGCGGACCAGAGUGCUCAUCAUGGGAAGUUGUUUGAGUGCCAAAAUACACGAGGCCAAAAAUUUAAAUCCAGAGAAUUUGUCCACAAAAAAAAAGCGUUCUUGCCUUGGGUUUCUGAGAAAUUGUUUUCGAAGAAAAAAUCCAGCGGCAAAAGAUAAAAAAACGGCUCCAGAAAAGCCAAAGAGCAAAAGGAAAAUGUUUCGAUGUUUCUUCAAGAAGAAACCAAAAAUGAAGGAAAUGGUGUACAACGAGAUUGUUGAUGAUCUUCUUGAGGAGAUUGUUGACGAGAUCCGUGCUGAAGUUGCUGAUGACGACGGUGAUGUGUAUUCGGCAAAGCGUCGACAUUCCAAAGGCCUGCAAACACUUGCCUGUUUGAAAAGGAAAAGAAGAAAGACAAAAGAAAGACAAAAAGCUGCUUUUGAAAAGAAACGAAAAGAACACAGGAGGGCAGAGGACAUAUUUAUGUUCGGCUUUAAAACAUUUUGGAGGACAGGUCUCUCUCGGAAAAUCGUGGUUUUCAAAGGGAAUGCUGGAUGUGGAAAAAGCGGUCUCCUCCAUUAUCUUUCAAGACUUGCAAAGCAAGGUAGCGGCAGGUCUGGGAUAUUAUCACAUCAGGUAUGUUUAAGCAAAAUAUAGGAACCAGGACUGUUGUUAUAAAUUUAAAGAUAGAAAUUUCCAAUUGUUGAAGUUUCCAAAAGUAUAUCAGAUUUGUGAUAAUCACACAUUUGACCAAAAUACAUCACAUAGGAAUUUCAAAAUGUUCAACAAGGAGUAACUCGCAAUCAUCUGAGACAAACCAAGGAUUUUGGGAGUUUUUUUUCAACAUUUAAUUGGAGAAAAAAAAUUCUCAUUAUUGCAGACAGUACAGUAUUUGAAAUAUACAAAUAUUGGCAUUUCUUGAGU
ensembl:lincRNA